GAUGAAGAACGCAGCGAAAUGCGAUACUUGGUGUGAAUUGCAGAAUCCCGUGAACCAUCGAGUCUUUGAACGCAAGUUGCGCCCGAAGCCGUCAGGCCGAGGGCACGCCUGCCUGGGCGUCACACGCCGUUGCCCCCCCGCGCCCCGCACCCAACUCUUUGGGAGCGACCGCGGGGCGGGCUGAUGAUGGCCUCCCGUGCGCUCCGCCGCGCGGUUGGCCCAAAUACCGAGUCCCCGGCGACGUGCGACACGACGAUCGGUGGUUGAGAGACCUCUGUCGCAAGUCGUGCGCGCCCGUCGCGUCACGCGGGCUCGCAUAGCGCCUCGCGCCGCACCCGGUGCGGAGCUUUCAACGCGACCCCAGGUCAGGCGGGGUUACCCGCUGAAUUUAAGCAUAUCAAUAAGCGGAGGA
rnacentral:misc_RNA from 1 species